AUUCUCAACCUUACAAACUUUUGUGUUUGAUUUGGCUUGGAGUUGGAGGCUUGCUGACGGGAAAUUCCUUUGGCUCCUCUCAAAUGCAUUAGCUUGGUUCCUUGCGGAUUGGCUCCUGGUGUGAUAAAUGUUUACGCCGCAGCUGUUGAAGCGAUUUGGGCAAGCUCCUAA
rnacentral:misc_RNA from 1 species